rnacentral:lncRNA from 1 species
CGGCCCCCCGGCUGCCCGUGGUCAAACUGGAGUCGCUGAAGCGCUGGAACGAAGAGCGGGGCCUCUGGUGCGAGAAGGGGGUGCAGGUGCUGCUGACGACGGUGGGCGCCUUCGCCGCCUUCGGCCUCAUGACCAUCGCCAUCAGCACUGACUACUGGCUCUACACGCGCGCCCUCAUCUGCAACACCACCAACCUCACGGCCGGCGGCGACGACGGGACCCCCCACCGCGGGGGCGGCGGCGCCUCGGAGAAGAAGGACCCCGGCGGCCUCACGCACUCGGGCCUCUGGAGGAUCUGCUGCCUGGAAGGUUGAAAAGAGGCGUCUGCGUGAAGAUCAAUCAUUUCCCGGAGGACACGGACUACGACCACGACAGCGCGGAGUAUCUACUCCAGUUGUCCGGGCCUCCAGCAUCUUCCCCAUCCUUAGCGCCAUCCUGCUGCUGCUCGGGGGUGUGUGCGUGGCGGCCUCCCGCGUCUACAAGUCCAAGAGGAACAUCAUUCUGGGCGCAGGGAUCCUGUUCGUGGCAGCAGCCUGAGCAACAUCAUCGGCGUGAUCGUGUACAUCUCCGCCAACGCGGGCGAGCCGGGCCCGAAGCGGGACGAGGAGAAGAAAAACCACUACUCGUACGGCUGG